rnacentral:rRNA from 1 species
UACGUAGGUGGCAAGCGUUAUCCGGAUUUAUUGGGCGUAAGGGGAACGCAGGCGGUCUUUUAAGUCUGAUGUGAAAGCCUUCGGCUUAACCGGAGUAGUGCAUUGGAAACUGGGAGACUUGAGUGCAGAAGAGGAGAGUGGAACUCCAUGUGUAGCGGUGAAAUGCGUAGAUAUAUGGAAGAACACCAGUGGCGAAAGCGGCUCUCUGGUCUGUAACUGACGCUGAGGUUCGAAAGCGUGGGUAGCAAACAGG